rnacentral:rRNA from 1 species
AUUGAACGCUGGCGGCAGGCCUAACACAUGCAAGUCGAGCGAGCGGCGGACGGUUGCGUAAUGUCUGGGGACUGCCCGAUAGCUGGGGAUAACUACUGGAAACGGUAGCUAAUACCGCAUACUAUCGGCUUCCCCAUAUGGGAGUAGCUAGUAGGUGAGGUAAUGGCUCACCUAGGCUACGAUCCCUCGCUGGUCUGAGAGGAUGAUCAGCCACACUGGGACUGAGACACGGCCCAGACUCCUACGGAGGCAGCAGUGGGGAAUAUUGCACAAUGGGCGCAAGCCUGAUACAGCCAUGCCGCGUGUAUGAAGAAGGCCCUAGGGUUGUAAAGUACUUUCAGUCGGGAGGCGUUACCGACAGAAGAAGCACCGGCUAACUCCGUGCCAGCAGCCGCGGUAAUAC